rnacentral:rRNA from 1 species
UUAAACGUCCAUAGCACAUUGAAAAAAUACACUGGUUCUUGUCCAAUCACCGAAGUUAAGCAACGUCUUGUGUGGUCAGUACUUGGAUGGACCGCCUGCGAACACCACGUGACUUUUUGU